UACGGGGGAUGCAAGCGUUAUCCGGAUUUAUUGGGUUUAAAGGGUGCGUAGGCUGUGAGGUAAGUCAGCGGUCAAAUCGUGGGGCUCAACCCCAUCCAGCCGUUGAAACUGGGGAUCUAGAGUGUGCGAGAGGUAUGCGGAAUGCGUGGUGUAGCGGUGAAAUGCAUAGAUAUCACGCAGAACUCCGAUUGCGAAGGCAGCUUACUAAGCCAUAACUGACACUGAAGCACGAAAGCGUGGGGAUCAAACAGG
rnacentral:rRNA from 1 species